rnacentral:rRNA from 1 species
ACGCUCGACACCUACGGGAAGCAGCAGUUGGGAAUAUUGGACAAUGGAGGAAACUCUGAUCCAGUGACGCCGCGUGAAGGAAGAAGGUCUUCGGAUUGUAAACUUAUUUUGUCAGGGAAGAAAAAUGACUGUACCUGAAGAAAAAGCACCGGCUAACUACGUGCCCGACAGCCGCGGUAAUCUGAGCGGGCUGGCAAGGC